rnacentral:lncRNA from 1 species
GUAUGGUUGGGUGUGCAAAGUUUACAUUUUAAGGACCUCUGCUGCUGCCACUGUCAUUGUGGUUAAUGAUGGCUUUAAGGUUUAUUCUUAUUCCCAUAUCUUUGAGAGAGGAAGAGAGUGGGAUUGCUACCCACAUUUUAAUGAAGGUGGAGCUGAGCCGUAGAACUCUCUGGGAGCCAUCCAACCUGGCUGUGGCUCAUAACAAGGUAUUGAUCACUUCCUUUGGCCUGAGUGAGUCCAGGGUGCCUAGACAAGAGGUAGCAGCCUGUGGAUGUCCAGCACCUUUGCAGGGAAUACAGGGCCCAAUCUGGCACAUGCCCCUUUUCCUCCAGGCCCAGAGCAGGGGCUGUUGCCGAAAGGCUGUGGAGCAACAAGUUGACAUCUGACCUGACAUUUGCCUAUGAACGUUUGUCACACUUCCGCUGUGAAUUGCUGAGGCGAGGUGUCCAGGCCCAACCCCUCAAUGUAGGCUUCUGUGAGCAGGAGUUUGAACAGACCUGAGCCCCAGGCACCGAGGAGGGUGCUGGCUGUAGGUGAAUGGUAGUGGAGCCAGGCUUCCACUGCAUCCUGGCCAGGGGACGGAGCCCCUUGCCUUCGUGCCCCUUGCCUGCGUGCCCCUGUGCUUGGAGAGAAAGGGGCCGGUGCUGGCGCUCGCAUUCAAUAAAGAGUAAUGUGGCAUUUUUCUAUAAUAAACAUGGAUUACCUGUGUUUAAAAAAAAAA